UUAUGAAUAGAUUUUGCAGGACACCUG
rnacentral:sRNA from 1 species